UACAGACAUCCUGCCAAAAUGAUUUCUUCAACGUCCAGAUUUGGCAUACCCUAUGGCCUCAAGACUCUACUCGAAGGAAUUAGCAGAGCCACUAUCAAAAAAAACCCAUCAAACAUCAACCAGUUUAUUUUAAAGAACUUGCUAUGUAUAGAGAAGGGAAUACUUCUCUGGAUAUAAAGGAUCUGGUUAAACAGUUUCAUCAGAUUAAAGUACAGAAGUGGUCAGAAGGAUCAGUAUGACCGAAGAAAGUAGAAUGUUUAAAAGAACCAGAAAAAACAUCUGUAGAAUCUAAAGUACCUACACGGUUGGAAAAAUCUACAGACACAGAGGAGGACAAUGUAACUGGAACAGGAUAUAGUGACAAAACCACCCAGUUUCCAUCAACUUAUGCUGAGCUAGGCGCUGAGCAAACUGAAGCAGUUCAUGAUUCUUCUCCCAAAGCAGCUACCCCUAAGACUACUACCCCACCCUCCUCACCACCUCCAACAGCUGUCUCGCCAGAGUUUGCCUAUAUCCCAGCUGACCCAGCUCAGUUUGCUGCUCAGAUAUUAGGUAAAGUUUUAUCUAUUCAUUCUGAUCAAUCUGAUGUUUUAAUGGUGGAUGUGGCAACCAGCAUGCCUGUUGUUAUCAAGGAGGUGCCGAGCUCAGAGGCUGCUGAAGAUGUCAUGGUGGCUGCUCCUCUUGUGUAUUCUGGGAAGGUACUAGAAGUGCAGGUUGUGAGCCAAACAUCUGUCCAUGUAGAUUUGGGUUCUCAACCUAAAGAAAAUGAGGCUGAACUAUCAACGGCUUCCUCAGUCCCUUGCAGGAUGAACAAGCUUAUGAACUUCCUGCUUAUGAUCAAGCUCCUGAGGUCCCUUUGCAGGCUCAUAUUGAGGUUAUGUCAAACUCUUCGUAUAUCGUCUAUCUAUAAUGAUGUGCCUGGGACUGAAGGAGUUGUUUAUGUCAAGCAACAGCCAGAACAAAUAGUUAUCCCUUUCACUGAUCAAGUUGCUUGUCUUAAAGAAAAUGAGCAGUCACCACCAGUUAGUCCCAAACCUGUAGUAGAAAAGACAACCUCUGGCAUGUCUAAAAAAUCUGUAGAGUCUGUAAAACUUGCACAGUUGGAGGAGAAUGAAAAAUAUCUCUCAGUACAUAUGGAGGCAGAAGCAACAGCUGUGCUCUCAGACACAUCUUUGAAAGGUCAGCCUGAGGUACCUGCAGAAACCCUGGAUGCAGAGGGCACUAUCAAAAUAGGCUCUGAAAAAUCUCUGCACUUUGAAGUGGCGAUGACUUCAAUAGUCUCUGACAAUGCUGGGCAGGAGGAGUCCGAGGAAAGCUCUGCACCCCAGGAGGUGGAAGGCAAACCUGUGCUCUCUAGGGAAGCUGCAGAAGCAGUGCACUCAGGUACAUCUGUAAAAUAAUCUAGUGGCCCCUGCCCUUCUGCUCCAGAAGGUCUUACUGCACCAGAAAUCGAACCAGAAGGGGAAGCAACAGCUGAAUAAGGUUUGUUGUAGCCAGCAAUGGCAGCAAGCGAAUCCCAACAACCACCACCAUUUUCCAAUAUGUGGACCCUUUAUUGUCUAACUGAUAAGAAUCAACAAAGUCACUCAUCACCGCCACCUGCACCUGGGCCUUUCCCCCAAGCAACCCUCUACAUAUCUAAUCCUAAGGAUCUGCAGUUUCUGCAGCAUCCACCAACAGUCACCUCUCCAAUUUAUGUGAUGGACGACACAAAGAAUAUCAGUACCCCACCUUUUAUCUCAGCAGGCUCAAAUGUUCAGAAAGCACAGGAAUGGGAAACUCUUCCUGGUCAUGCUCUUGUUUCGCGGUCAGGUGUCUUGAAGAGAUAUGCUGCAGUGCAAGUGCCCAUUGCUGUUCCUGCAGAUGGGAAAUUCCAGAAACAUACUCUAAGUCCCCGCAAUACUAAUCCUCCAAGUGGACAAGAUGUUCCCAAGCCAGAAAGUCCUGUUUUUCUUUCUGUUGCUUUCCCAGUAGAAGAUGUAGCUUAAAAAAGUUCAGGAUCUGGUGACAAAUGUGCUCCCUUUGGAAGUUACGGUAUUGCUGGGGAGAUAACUGUGGCUACUGCUCGCAAAAUUUGCAAAACAGAAACUGAAAACUGGUAGGUACACUUUCCUACCAUAAUGUGUAGGUUGGAAGAAAAAACUCGUGUUUUAAGAAUUUUGAUUUAUUGAACUGGAGAUUUAGAUAGCUAAAAACAAUUUGAGAUAAUAUGUAAUAAGUUGGGAUAUACUCUAAUUUCCUGGAGUUACUGUCUCUAACUUCCCAACCACCAGUUACUAAUAAAUGCACAGCAGAUGCACUGUACCACAAUGACUUGCACCAAGGAUUUGAUGCCCAAUACAUGAAACCAAUGAACUCAGUCGCCUUUGAAUACCUAGUCCAUUGUCUUAACACAGUGGUAGAUGCGAAAAGGGGAUGGAUUUUUAAAACAGGACAAUUUAUUUGUCAUGUUUAGGGAGGAGCUGGAAAAAACUGAAGAGCAAGGUUAGAGAGAAGUCUUGAUUAUGUAACAGAGCACUUAAUCCCUGAGGUAAGAGACAGUAGAUGGACAGGUGAGAAGCAGAGUAAAGAGCUAAGUAACAGCUGAGAUUAACUGUGGAUGAGACUGCUUGAUCACUCACAGUCUUUAAGUUUUUCAUUCAUGCUUAAUGCCAAGCCCUAUGCUAGCCCUCCUUCCCUGUGUAAAACAAACAAACAAACACAAAAAACCCAGGAACUGUGGAUGAAAAUAUUGUAUAUGUAAUAUAUUUCACACUGUGCUAAACCUGUUGUGGUGAUACUCAGGUUUUCUUUUGUGGGAGGGGAAAACAUGAAGAGAAUAGUAGUUCAAAAAUUUAAACAUCUGUCAUGGUCCCAUAGGAAUAAUGUGUUGACUGGAAUGAUGAUGUCCCAGCCCUGCCCACAGAAAACCAUUUAAUUCAUAUGCAGUAUUAACUGCCAUUACUACCAUGUGUAACACUGAAUAAUGCUAUUUCUAGAGGAAAAUGAAUACAAAGUUUGAAACUGGGAUGUCAGGAACAUUUCAUCUCUUUUUGUUGCUCUGGAGUAAGAGUUUUCCUCCUUACCUUACCAUUACUGACCCUCCCCUACUGUUCGCCAAGCAAUAAAAGUGGGAAUUCCCUGCUUCUAAGCUACUGGGAGGGCUCUAAUUUUGUGUGGGUCCAGGGUUUAAUGAUUAGAAAUGAGAAUAGAAUUCAGAUGAAAAAAAGCAGAGUUUCAGGAAGUCAGAGGAUAAGGAGCUAUCUGGGGAAUACUCUGAUCUUUUAAUGACUUCCUUUCCCUAAUCCUAAAGCAAGCACAAAAGACUUUUUGAGCUUUAUGGUCUCUUAUUAUUAGUAAUGAU